rnacentral:rRNA from 1 species
UACGGAGGGUGCAAGCGUUAUCCGGAUUCACUGGGUUUAAAGGGUGCGUAGGUGGGCAAGUAAGUCAGUGGUGAAAUCUCCGAGCUUAACUUGGAACUGCCGUUGAUACUAUCUGCCUUGAAUAUUGUGGAGGUGAGCGGAAUAUGUCAUGUAGCGGUGAAAUGCUUAGAUAUGACAUAGAACACCAAUUGCGAAGGCAGCUCGCUACACAUAUAUUGACUCUGAGGCACGAAAGCGUGGGGAUCAAACAGG